CCGCGGUAACGACGGGUAACGGGGAAUCAGGGUUCGAUUCCGGAGAGGGGAGCCCCGAGAAACGGCUACCACUUCCAAGGAAGGCAGCAGGCGCGUAAAAUUACCCAAUCCUGACACAGGGAGGUAGUGACGAUAAAUAACAAUGCCGGGCUUUCUAAGUCUGGCAAUUGGAAUGAGAACAAUUUAAAUCCCUUAACGAGGAUCAAUUGGAGGGCAAGUCUGGUGCCAGCAGCCGCGGUAAUUCCAGCUCCAAUAGCGUAUAUUAAAGUUGUUGCAGUUAAAAAGCUCGUAGUUGGAUUUCUGGUCGGAGCGAUCGGUCCGCCUCAUUCGGGGUGUGUACUUUGUGUCGCCUCCAGCCAUCCUUGAGGCGAGCUGUCCUGGCAUUGAGUUGUUGGGUCAGGGGAACCUCAUCUUUUACUGUGAAAAAAUUAGAGUGUUUAAAGCAGGCUUACGCCGUUGAAUACAUUAGCAUAGGAAUAAUAAGAUAGGACUUUGGUGGUCUAUUUUGUUGG
rnacentral:rRNA from 1 species